UGGGGAAUAUUGCACAAUGGGGGAAACCCUGAUGCAGCGACGCCGCGUGAGCGAAGAAGGUUUUCGAAUCGUAAAGCUCUGUCCUAUGAGAAGAUAAUGACGGUAUCAUAGGAGGAAGCCCCGGCUAAAUACGUGCCAGCAGCCGCGGUAAUACGUAUGGGGCGAGCGUUGUCCGGAAUUAUUGGGCGUAAAGGGUACGUAGGCGGUCUAUUAAGUCAGGUGUGAAAGCGUGAGACUUAACCUCAUUAAGCACUUGAAACUGAUAGACUUGAGUGAAGGAGAGGAAAGUGGAAUUCCUAGUGUAGCGGUGAAAUGCGUAGAUAUUAGGAGGAAUACCGGUGGCGAAGGCGACUUUCUGGACUUUUACUGACGCUCAGGUACGAAAGCGUGGGGAGCAAACAGG
rnacentral:rRNA from 1 species